GAUGAACGCUGGCGGCGUGCCUAAUACAUGCAAGUCGAGCGAACAGACGAGGAGCUUGCUCCUCUGACGUUAGCGGCGGACGGGUGAGUAACACGUGGAUAACCUACCUAUAAGACUGGGAUAACUUCGGGAAACCGGAGCUAAUACCGGAUAACAUGUUGAACCGCAUGGUUUAACAGUGAAAGACGGUCUUGCUGUCACUUAUAGAUGGAUCCGCGCCGCAUUAGCUAGUUGGUAAGGUAACGGCUUACCAAGGCAACGAUGCGUAGCCGACCUGAGAGGGUGAUCGGCCACACUGGAACUGAGCCACGGUCCAGACUCCUACGGGAGGCAGCAGUAGGGAAUCUUCCGCAAUGGGCGAAAGCCUGACGGAGCAACGCCGCGUGAGUGAAGAAGGUCUUCGGAUCGUAAAACUCUGUUAUUAGGGAAGAACAAAUGUGUAAGUAACUAUGCACGUCUUGACGGUACCUAAUCAGAAAGCCACGGCUAACUACGUG
rnacentral:rRNA from 1 species